rnacentral:rRNA from 1 species
GAGUUUGAUCGUGGCUCAGGACGAACGCUGGCGGCGUGCCUAAUACAUGCAAGUCGAGCGAAUCACCGGGAGCUUGCUCUCGGCGAUUAGCGGCGGACGGGUGAGUAACACGUGGGCGACCUGCCUGUAAGACUGGGAUAACUUCGGGAAACCGGAGCUAAUACCGGAUCAAUCUUUUCCUCGCAUGAGGAAAAGCUAAAAGACGGUUUCGGCUGUCACUUACAGAUGGGCCCGCGGCGCAUUAGCUAGUUGGUGAGGUAACGGCUCACCAAGGCGACGAUGCGUAGCCGACCUGAGAGGGUGAUCGGCCACACUGGGACUGAGACACGGCCCAGACUCCUACGGGAGGCAGCAGUAGGGAAUCUUCCGCAAUGGACGAAAGUCUGACGGAGCAACGCCGCGUGAGUGAUGAAGGCCUU